rnacentral:lncRNA from 10 species
AUUGUCUUUUUUUCACUUAGCACAUCAAGAUGUUUUCUAUGUCAGUAAAUAUGAAUCCACAUCAUCAUUUUUAACAGCAGUCUCAUAUUUCAUUUGUAUUAGGCCAUCGUGCAUUGCUAUAAAGGAAUACCUGAGACUGCGUAAUUUAUAAAGAAGAAGGUUUAUUUGGCUCAUGGCUCUGCAGGCUGUAUAAGCAUGGCACCAGCAUCUGCUUGGCUUCUGGUGAGGCCUCAAGAAGCUUUUAUUCAUGAUGGAAGGCAGAGUAGGAGCAGGCAUGUCACAUGGCUAGGGAGUGAGUAAGAGAGAGAGGAGAGGGAGGUGUCAGGCUCCUUUAAACAACUAGCUCUCCUGUAAACUACCAGAGCAAGAACUCACUCAGCUGUUCAUGAGAGAUGUGCCCCAUAACCUAAACACCUCCCUCUAAGCCCAUCUCCAACACUGGAGAUUACAUUUGAACACGAAAUUUGGAGGAGACACACAUCUAAACUAUAUCAUUAUGUCCCCGGUCCCCAAAAUAUCAUAUCCUUCUCAUAUUGCAAAGUACAAUCAUCCCUUCCCAGUAGUUCCCAACAGUCUUAACUCAUUCUAGCCUCAACUCAAAAGUCCAAAGUCCCAUGUCCAAAGUCUCAUCUGAGACUGAGCCUGUAAAGUAAAAAACAAGUAAUCUAUUUCCAAGAUACAAUGGUGGUACAGGCAUUGGGUAAACAUGCCCUUUCCAAAAGGGAGAAAUCAGCCAAAAGAAAGGAGCAAUAGACCCUACACACAUCUGAAACCCAGCAGAGCAGACAUUAAACCUUAAAGCUCCAAAAUAACCUCCCAUGACUCCAUGUCCCACAUCCAGGCCACACUGGGGCAAAGGGUGGGCUCCCAAGGCCUUGGGCAGCUCCGCCUCUGUGGCUUUGCAGGGUACAGCCCCCACGGCUGCUUUCAUUGGUUGAAGUUGAGUGUCUGCCGGUUUUCCAGACUCAGGGUGCACGCUGCUUGUGGCUCUACCAUCCUGGGGUCUGAAGGGCACAGCAGUGUCCUGAUGGGGACUCUGUGUGGGGAAUAGGCAGUGUCCCAGUGGGGAUUCUGUGUGGGGGCUCCAACCCCACAUUUCCCCUCAUGCCCUAACAGAAGUUCUCUGAAGGGGAUCUGCCCCUGCCGCAGGCUUCUGUCUGGGCAUCCAGGCUUUCUGAUACUUCCUCUGAAAUCUAGGCGGAAGCUGCCAAGUCUCCCUUAGUCUUGUAUUCUGCAUACCAAGUAGAAACCUCCAAGGCUUAUAGUGGCUUGCGCUCUUCAAAGUGGCAGCCUGAGCUGUACCUUGGGCCCUUUGAGCUGAGGCUGGAAAUGCAGCAGACUGGAUGCAGCAGUAGCCUCCUGAGGCAGCAGAGAGCAGUAGUAGCACUCUGGGCCUGGCUCCCCAAACUGAGGGGCUGCCUCAGAGACUUCUGAAAUGCCUUCAUGGCCUUUUCCCCAUUGUUUUGGUUAUUAGCACCUGGCUUCCUCUUAGUCAUGCUAAUCUCUUCAGCAAGCGGUUGUUCCACAGCCUGCUUGGAUUCUUUCUCUAUCACAUGGCCAGGUUGUGAAGUUUCCAAAUGUUUACGCUCUGCUUCCCUUUUAACUAUGAGUUCCAACAUUAAGUCCUUUGCUCCCAAAUCUGAAUGUAAGUCGUUAGAAGCAGCCACCCCACCUCCUGAAUGCAUUUCUGCUUGGAAAUUUCUUCCAACAGACACUCUAAAUCAUCACUCCUAAGUUCAACCUUCCACAAAUCCCUCAGGCAUGGACACAAUGCGCCAGGUUCUUUGCUAAGGAAUAACAAGGGUGACCUUUGCUUCAGUUCCCAAUGACUUCCUCAUUUCCAUCUGAGACCUUGGUAGCCUGGUCUUCACCAUUCAUGUUUCUAAAAGCAUUUUAGAAUGCUUCACAACCACUUAACCAGGCUCUGAGAGGCUCCAAACUUUCCCUUGUCUUCCUGUCUCCUGAGCCCUCCAAACUCUUCCAACCUCUGCCUGUAACCCAGCUCCAAAGCUGUUUCCACAUUUUCAGGUAUCUUUGUAGCAAUGCCCCACUCCUUGGCACCAAUUUUCUGAGUCAGUUUUGAGUUGCUAAAAGGAAUACCUGAGACUGGGUAAUUUAUAAAGAAAAGUGGUUUAUUUGGCUCAUGAUUCUGCAGGCUGUAUAAGUAUGGCACCAGCAUCCGCUCAGCUUCUGAUGAACCCUCAGGAAGCUUUUACUCAUGGUGGAAAGUGAAGAGGGUGCAGGUAUGUCACACAGCGAGAGAGGGAACAAGAAAGAGAGAUGGAGCAAGACAGAAAGAGGGAGAAAUAUAGACAAGAGGACGAGGUGCCAGGCCCCUUUAGAGAACCAGCUCUCACAUCAACUACCGGAGCAAGAACUCACUCAUUGCCAUGGGAGGACACCAAGUCAUUCACGAGGGAUCUGUCCCCAUAACCCAAACACCUCCCACUAGGCCCGCCUUCAACACUGGCGGAUGUAUUUCAACAUGAGAUUUGGAGGGGACACACAUCCAAACUUUAUCACCGUUGUAUGAAUUUAACCAACCUAUAUGUCUUUCUGGUAAACAUAUAGGUGGAUUGUUGAUUGGAAAUUACAAAUAAUGCCUUAUCAAUUAGCUUUCACCGUGUAAUAAACAACCUCACAAUUUCUCGACUUACAAGAACAACAUUUCUUUUUUUUUUUUUAGUUCAUUAUUCUGUGAAGCAACUAGGGGUCCUCUCUCCAUGUGGUUUCUCAUCCAUAGUGGUCCAGCCUGGACUUCUUCACCAGUGGUCUCAGAGGCUUGGACAGCAAGCUCCAAUGUGCAAGUGCUUGUUAAGCCUUAGCUUCUAAUAUACUUAGUAAUGUCUUUUUGCCCAACCCAAGUCAUCUGUCCAACCCAGAGUCAAAGGCUGAAGAAUAGACUCCAUUGCUUGGUGAGAAUCUGCAACGUCACAUUACAAGAAAUAUAACAUAAAAGCAUGAAGGAAUUUUUGACAUUUGGCAAUCUUCCACAAAUGCUAUGCUAAAUAUCCUUUCAACUACUACUGUGCACACUUACCUGAUUAUUCAUAUGAGAUAAACUUCUGGAAGAUAAAUUGUUCAGUAAAAAGUGUGACUAUUUUAAGCUAUGGAUUUCUACUACCACAAUUGGAAUUUAUACUCUCAUCAACUAGUCUUUGAGUGAUAAGAACUCAGUGCCUGGCAUAAUGUAUAGUUUAUUACACUAUAAAUAUUGGUUAAAUGAAUCAAUGAAUGAAUGAAUGAAAACCGCAUACAGAAAUCAAAAAAAUGAGAACAAAUCGGUAGCCUGACUAAUACUGAUAUUACCAUGCUUUAAAUAUUUGCUCAUUAACAGCUAAAAAUAGAACCUUAUUUUAAUUCCUACUUUUUGCAUUACUAAUAGUGGUUAUGUUCAAUGGCUAUGUGGUAUUCUACUUUACUGAAUUUGAAUUGAGCAAAUAUCAUUUGGUCUGUUUCUGGGUUCUCUGUAUUUUGUUUCAGUCAUUUUGUCUAUUGGGCCUUAAAACUAUCAUAUCUAACUUAUUCUUUUCAUGACUACAAUACUCCAAUGCAUGGAAGUAUCCUAAUUUACUUAACUGAUGUCUUUUUUAUGGAUAGAUAUAUAUUCCUAGUCCUUUGAUAUUAAAAGAAAGCUGAAAUGAUCAUCCUUUAUAUGGCCUUUACAUAGAUGUCUUUGCUGUCAAGUGAAGGUAUAUCUUUAGGAUAAGAUAUACCUGGUAUGAUAAUUACUGGAAAAAUAGUAUGUUCAUUUAAAAUAUUGAUAUUUGUUGCAUAAAUGCCUUCCAAAGAAGUUGUAGCAAUUCUCACUUUUUUUUUUUUAAUCAGUGGGUAAACGUGCAUGCUUCCCUAAACUCUUACUAAAGCAACAUAUCCAAGCUUAUCUGAUGUGGAAAAUGGCAAAUCAC